rnacentral:rRNA from 1 species
CCAUGCAAGUCGAGCGAAGCCUUCGGGCUUAGCGGCGGACGGGUGAGUAAGCCGUGGGAACAUACCCUUUGGUACGGAAUAGCCCCGGGAAACUGGGAGUAAUACCGUAUGUGCCCCCCCAAUCAAAUUUCAUUUGAUUGAAAUAUCGAUCUUAUCGAGUUCUUGUGGAAUUUGAUGGGGGGGGAAAGAUUUAUCGCCAAAGGAUUGGCCCGCGUUGGAUUAGGUAGUUGGUGGGGUAAUGGCCUACCAAGCCGACGAUCCAUGGCUGGUUUGAGAGGAUGAUCAGCCACACUGGGACUGAGACACGGCCCAGACUCCUACGGGAGGCAGCAGUGGGGAAUCUUAGACAAUGGGGGCAACCCUGAUCUAGCCAUGCCGCGUGAGUGAUGAAGGCCCUAGGGUUGUAAAGCUCUUUCAGCUGGGAAGAUAAUGACGGUACCAGCAGAAGAAGCCCCGGCUAACUCCGUGCCAGCAGCCGCGGUAAUACGGAGGGGGCUAGCGUUGUUCGGAAUUACUGGGCGUAAAGCGCGCGUAGGCGG